UACGUAGGGUGCAAGCGUUGUCCGGAAUUAUUGGGCGUAAAGAGCUCGUAGGCGGUCUGUCGCGUCUGCUGUGAAAACUCAGGGCUUAACCCUGAGCUUGCAGUGGGUACGGGCAGACUAGAGUGCGGUAGGGGAGACUGGAAUUCCUGGUGUAGCGGUGAAAUGCGCAGAUAUCAGGAGGAACACCGGUGGCGAAGGCGGGACUCUGGGCCGUAACUGACGCUGAGGAGCGAAAGCAUGGGGAGCGAACAGG
rnacentral:rRNA from 1 species